rnacentral:rRNA from 1 species
UACGUAGGUGGCGAGCGUUGUCCGGAAUUACUGGGUGUAAAGGGCGUGUAGGCGGAUUUGCAAGUCAGAUGUGAAAUUCCCAGGCUUAACCUGGGCGCUGCAUUUGAAACUGUGGAUCUUGAGUGAUGGAGAGGAAAGCGGAAUUCCCAGUGUAGAGGUGAAAUUCGUAGAUAUUGGGAAGAACACCAGUGGCGAAGGCAGCUACCUGGACCGCAACUGACGCUGAGGCGCGAAAGCGUGGGGAGCAAAC